rnacentral:rRNA from 1 species
UACGUAGGGUGCGAGCGUUGUCCGGAAUUAUUGGGCGUAAAGGGCUCGUAGGCGGUGUGUCGCGUCGGCCGUGAAAACCUGGGGCUUAACUCUGGGCGUGCGGUCGAUACGGGCAUCACUGGAGUUCGGCAGGGGAGACUGGAAUUCCUGGUGUAGCGGUGAAAUGCGCAGAUAUCAGGAGGAACACCGGUGGCGAAGGCGGGUCUCUGGGCCGAUACUGACGCUGAGGAGCGAAAGCGUGGGGAGCGAACAGG